AAACCAGCACCUCAAGUGGUCAGGAUGAUUAUUGGGCCUAAAGCAUCCGUAGCCGGCUCUGUAAGUUUUCGGUUAAAUCUGUACGCUCAACGUACAGGCUGCCGGGAAUACUGCAGAGCUAGGGAGUGGGAGAGGUAGACGGUACUCGGUAGGAAGGGGUAAAAUCCUUUGAUCUAUUGAUGACCACCUGUGGCGAAGGCGGUCUACCAGAACACGUCCGACGGUGAGGGAUGAAAGCUGGGGGAGCAAACCGGAUUAGAUACCCGGGUAGUCCCAGCUGUAAACUAUGCAAACUCAGUGAUGCAUUGGCUUGUGGCCAAUGCAGUGCUGCAGGGAAGCCGUUAAGUUUGCCGCCUGGGAAGUACGUACGCAAGU
rnacentral:rRNA from 1 species